UACGUAGGGUGCAAGCGUUAAUCGGAAUUACUGGGCGUAAAGCGUGCGCAGGCGGUUUUGUAAGUCUGUCGUGAAAUCCCCCGGGCUCAACCUGGGAAUUGCGAUGGAGACUGCAAGGCUAGAAUCUGGCAGAGGGGGGUAGAAUUCCACGUGUGAGCAGUGAAAUGCGUAGAGAUGUGGAGGAACACCGAUGGCGAAGGGCAGCCCCCUGGGUCAAGAUU
rnacentral:rRNA from 1 species